rnacentral:lncRNA from 1 species
UGGUGGAGACAGCGGUCUCGCUAUGGUCCCCAGGCUGGUCUCCCAACUCCUGGCCACAAGGGAUCAAGGGAUCCUCCUGGCCAAAGCACUGCCUAUGCAGGUGUGAGCCACCGCCGCCGGCCCAGACUUAUUUUCUAACUGGGCUAGGGGAAAGGGUAGGGUCUGUGUGGAGCUACAGCUGCCUUCAGCCUUUUUUGUUUUUUUUUUUUUUUUGAGACGGAGUCUGGUUCUGUCGCCCAGGCUGGAGGGGUUUACGCCAUUCUCCUGCCUCAGCCUCCUGAGCAGCUGGGACUACAGGCGCGUGCCACCACGCCCAGCUAAUUUUUUUGUAUUUUUAGUAGAGAUGGGGUUUCACCACGUUAGCCAGGAUGGUCUCGAUCUCCUGACCUCGUGAUCCGCCCGCCUCAGCCUCCCAAAGUGGGAGGAUCACCUGAGCCUAGGA